rnacentral:rRNA from 1 species
CUAGUAUAGCAUUAUACAGCGAAACUGCGAAUGGCUCAUUAAAUCAGUUAUCGUUUAUUUGAUAGUACCUUACUACUUGGAUAACCGUGGUAAUUCUAGAGCUAAUACAUGCUAAAAACCCCGACUCACGAAGGGGUGUAUUUAUUAGAUUAAAAACCAAUGCCCUUCGGGGCUCUUUGGUGAUUCAUAAUAACUUUUCGAAUCGCAUGGCCUUGCGCCGGCGAUGGUUCAUUCAAAUUUCUGCCCUAUCAACUUUCGAUGGCAGGGUCUUGGCCUGCCAUGGUUACAACGGGUAACGGAGGGUUAGGGCUCGACCCCGGAGAAGGAGCCUGAGAAACGGCUACUACAUCCAAGGAAGGCAGCAGGCGCGCAAAUUACCCAAUCCCGAUUCGGGGAGGUAGUGACAAUAAAUACUGAUACAGGGCUCUUUUGGGUCUUGUAAUUGGAAUGAGUACAAUUUAAAUCCCUUAACGAGGAACAAUUGGAGGGCAAGUCUGGUGCCAGCAGCCGCGGUAAUUCCAGCUCCAAUAGCGUAUAUUAAAGUUGUUGCAGUUAAAAAGCUCGUAGUUGAACCUUGGGCCUGGCUGGCCGGUCCGCCUCACCGCGUGCACUGGUUCGGCCGGGCCUUUCCCUCUGGGGAACCUCAUGGUCUUCACUGAUCGUGAUGGGGAACCAGGACUUUUACUGUGAAAAAAUUAGAGUGUUCAAAGCAGGCCUAUGCUCGAAUACAUUAGCAUGGAAUAAUAAAAUAGGACGUGUGGUUCUAUUUUGUUGGUUUCUAGGACCGCCGUAAUGAUUAAUAGGGACAGUCGGGGGCAUCAGUAUUCAAUUGUCAGAGGUGAAAUUCUUGGAUUUAUUGAAGACUAACUACUGCGAAAGCAUUUGCCAAGGAUGUUUUCAUUAAUCAGGAACGAAAGUUAGGGGAUCGAAGACGAUCAGAUACCGUCGUAGUCUUAACCAUAAACUAUGCCGACUAGGGAUCGGACGGUGUUACUUAUUGACCCGUUCGGCACCUUACGAGAAAUCAAAGUUCUUUGGGUUCU